ACGAACGCUGGCGGCCGCCUAACACAUGCAAGUCGAACGGAGUGGCGAACGGGUGAGUAACGCGUGAGCAACCUGCCUCUGACAGCGGGCUAGCCUCGGGAAACCGGGAUUAAUACCGCAUGGUGAGAGAUGGGCUCGCGUCUGAUUAGUUAGUUGGUGGGGUAACGGCCAACCAAGGCGACGAUCAGUAGCCGGCCUGAGAGGGUGAACGGGCACAUUGGAACUGAGACACGGUCCAAACUCCUACGGGAGGCAGCAGUGGGGAAUAUUGCACAAUGGGGGAAACCCUGAUGCAGCGACGCCGCGUGAACGAAGAAGGUAUUCGUAUCGUAAAGUUCUGUCCUAUGGGAAGCAGUACCAUAGAAGAAAGCUCCGGCUAAAUACGUGCCAGCAGCCGCGGUAAUUC
rnacentral:rRNA from 1 species